UUUUUACUGAUGAAGCUGGAUACCCCAUAAAAAGGGUUUAAUAGGGAAUCACGUUAAAAUCGUGAGCUGACGCGCAACUGUAAAGCCGAUCGAGUGUUGUGCAGCGUUAUACCACUGUUCCGAACGAUACGGAAUGGGAAGGUGCUGCAGAACCGGCAAGCCAGGAGACCUGUCCCGCUUCUUUUCUUGUA
rnacentral:ncRNA from 2 species